rnacentral:rRNA from 1 species
ACGCUGGCGGCGUGCCUAGUACAUGCAAGUUGAGCGCUGAAGGUUGGUACUUGUACCAACUGGAUGAGCAGCGAACGGGUGAGUAACGCGUGGGGAAUCUGCCUUUGAGCGGGGGACAACAUUUGGAAACGAAUGCUAAUACCGCAUAAAAACUUUAAACACAAGUUUUAAGUUUGAAAGAUGCAAUUGCAUCACUCAAAGAUGAUCCCGCGUUGUAUUAGCUAGUUGGUGAGGUAAAGGCUCACCAAGGCGAUGAUACAUAGCCGACCUGAGAGGGUGAUCGGCCACAUUGGGACUGAGACACGGCCCAAACUCCUACGGGAGGCAGCAGUAGGGAAUCUUCGGCAAUGGACGAAAGUCUGACCGAGCAACGCCGCGUGAGUGAAGAAGGUUUUCGGAUCGUAAAACUCUGUUGGUAGAGAAGAACGUUGGUGAGAGUGGAAAGCUCAUCAAGUGACGGUAACUACCCAGAAAGGGACGGCUAACUACGUGCCAGCAGCCGCGGUAAUACGUAGGUCCCGAGCGUUGUCCGGAUUUAUUGGGCGUAAAGCGAGCGCAGGUGGUCUAUUAAGUCUGGUGUAAAAGGCAGUGGCUCAACCAUUGUAUGCAUUGGAAACUGGUAGACUUGAGUGCAGGAGAGGAGAGUGGAAUUCCAUGUGUAGCGGUGAAAUGCGUAGAUAUAUGGAGGAACACCGGUGGCGAAAGCGGCUCUCUGGCCUGUAACUGACACUGAGGCUCGAAAGCGUGGGGAGCAAAC